UGGGGAAUAUUGCACAAUGGGGGAAACCCUGAUGCAGCGACGCCGCGUGAGCGAAGAAGUAUUUCGGUAUGUAAAGCUCUAUCAGCAGGGAAGAAAAUGACGGUACCUGACUAAGAAGCCCCGGCUAACUACGUGCCAGCAGCCGCGGUAAUACGUAGGGGGCAAGCGUUAUCCGGAUUUACUGGGUGUAAAGGGAGCGUAGACGGAAUGGCAAGUCUGAUGUGAAAGGCCGGGGCUCAACCCCGGGACUGCAUUGGAAACUGUCAAUCUAGAGUACCGGAGGGGUAAGUGGAAUUCCUAGUGUAGCGGUGAAAUGCGUAGAUAUUAGGAGGAACACCAGUGGCGAAGGCGGCUUACUGGACGGUAACUGACGUUGAGGCUCGAAAGCGUGGGGAGCAAACAGGA
rnacentral:rRNA from 1 species